rnacentral:tRNA from 2 species
GGCGGCGUAGCUCAGUUGGCUAGAGCACUCGGUUCAUACCCGGGGUGUCACCGGUUCAAAUCCAGUCGCCGCUACCA